CAAAAGCGGAGGAAAAGAAACCAACAGGGAUUGCCUUAGUAGCGGCGAGUGAAGCGGCAAAAGCUCAAAUUUGAAAUCUGGCGCCUUCGGUGUCCGAGUUGUAAUUUGAAGAUUGUAACCUUGGGGUUGGCUCUUGUCUAUGUUUCUUGGAACAGGACGUCACAGAGGGUGAGAAUCCCGUGCGAUGAGAUGCCCAAUUCUAUGUAAGGUGCUUUCGAAGAGUCGAGUUGUUUGGGAAUGCAGCUCUAAGUGGGUGGUAAAUUCCAUCUAAAGCUAAAUAUUGGCGAGAGACCGAUAGCGAACAAGUACAGUGAUGGAAAGAUGAAAAGAACUUUGAAAAGAGAGUGAAAAAGUACGUGAAAUUGUUGAAAGGGAAGGGUUUGAGAUCAGACUCGAUAUUUUGUGAGCCUUGCCUUCGUGGCGGGGUGACCCGCAGCUUAUCGGGCCAGCAUCGGUUUGGGCGGUAGGAUAAUGGCGUAGGAAUGUGACUUUACUUCGGUGAAGUGUUAUAGCCUGCGUUGAUGCUGCCUGCCUAGACCGAGGACUGCGAUUUUAUCAAGGAUGCUGGCAUAAUGAUCCCAAACCGCCCGUCUUG
rnacentral:rRNA from 1 species